UGCCGUUACAAGUGAGGCUACCGCAACGUUGGAAACAGCGGUUAGGAGCUUACACCCACCCGUGUCUACAUACUAUUGUUUGCUUUGGCGGGCCGUGGCCUCCACUGCGGGCUCUGCUCGUGUGUGCCCGCCAGAGAACCAAACUCUGAAUGUUAGUGAUGUCUGAGUACUAUCUAAUAGUUAAAACUUUCAACAACGGAUCUCUUGGUUCUGGCAUCGAUGAAGAACGCAGCGAAAUGCGAUAAGUAAUGUGAAUUGCAGAAUUCAGUGAAUCAUCGAAUCUUUGAACGCACAUUGCGCCCUGUGGUAUUCCGCAGGGCAUGCCUGUUCGAGCGUCAUUUAACCACUCACGCCUAGCGUGGUAUUGGGGCACGCGGUCUCCGCGGCCCUCAAAAUUAGUGGCGGCGCCGGUGGGCUCUAAGCGUAGUACAUACUCCCGCUAUAGAGUUCCCCCGGUGGCUCGCCAGAACCCCCAAUUUUUACAGGUUGACCUCGGAUCAGGUAGGUCCGAU
rnacentral:rRNA from 1 species